rnacentral:rRNA from 1 species
AGUGAACGCUGGCGGUAGGCCUAACACAUGCAAGUCGAACGGCAGCACAGUAAGAGCUUGCUCUUACGGGUUGCGAGUGGCGGACGGGUGAGGAAUGCAUCGGAAUCUACUUUUUCGUGGGGGAUAACGUAGGGAAACUUACGCCAAUACCGCAUACGACCUACGGGUGAAAGCAGGGGAUCUUCGGACCUUGCGCGAUUGAAUGAGCCGAUGUCGGAUUAGCUAGUUGGCGGGGUAAAGGCCCACCAAGGCGACGAUCCGUAGCUGGUCUGAGAGGAUGAUCAGCCGCACUAGAGCUGAGACACGGUCCAGACUCCUACGGGAGGGAGCAGUGGGGAAUAUUGGACAAUGGGCGCAAGCCUGAUCCAGCCAGACCGCGUGGGUGAAGAAGGCCUUGGGGUUGUAAAGCCCUUUUGUGGGGAAAGAAAAGCAGCAGGUUAAUACCACGCUGUUCUGACGGUACCCAAAGAAUAAGCACCGGCUAACUUCGUG